rnacentral:rRNA from 1 species
GACGAACGCUGGCGGCGUGCUUAACACAUGCAAGUCGAACGGAAAGGCCCUGCUUUUGUGGGGUGCUCGAGUGGCGAACGGGUGAGUAACACGUGAGUAACCUGCCCUUGACUUUGGGAUAACUUCAGGAAACUGGGGCUAAUACCGGAUAGGAGCUCCUGCUGCAUGGUGGGGGUUGGAAAGUUUCGGCGGUUGGGGAUGGACUCGCGGCUUAUCAGCUUGUUGGUGGGGUAGUGGCUUACCAAGGCUUUGACGGGUAGCCGGCCUGAGAGGGUGACCGGCCACAAUGGGACUGCGAGACGCACCAGACGCCUACGGGAGGCAGCAGUGGGGAAUAUUGCACAAUGGGCGGAAGCCUGAUGCAGCAACGCCGCGUGCGGGAUGACGGCCUUCGGGUUGUAAACCGCUUUCGCAUGUGACGAAGCGUGAGUGACGGUAAUGGGUAAAGAAGCACCGGCUAACUACGUG